rnacentral:rRNA from 1 species
GACGAACGCUGGCGGCGUGCUUAACACAUGCAAGUCGAACGGAAAGGCCCUGCUUGCCGGGUACUCGAGUGGCGAACGGGUGAGUAACACGUGGGUGAUCUGCCCUGCACUUCGGGAUAAGCCUGGGAAACUGGGUCUAAUACCGGAUAGGAGCCAUUUUUAGUGUGAUGGUUGGAAAGUUUUUUCGGUGUAGGAUGAGCUCGCGGCCUAUCGGCUUGUUGGUGGGGUAAUGGCCUACCAAGGCGGCGACGGGUAGCCGGCCUGAGAGGGUGGGCGGCCACAUUGGGACUGAGAUACGGCCCAGACUCCUACGGGAGGCAGCAGUGGGGAAUAUUGCACAAUGGGCGCAAGCCUGAUGCAGCGACGCCGCGUGGGGGAUGACGGCCUUCGGGUUGUAAACUCCUUUCGCUAGGGACGAAGCUUUUUGUGACGGUACCUAGAUAAGAAGCACCGGCUAACUACGUG